GCCGGGAUGGCGGAAUUGGUAGACGCGGCGGACUUAAAAUCCGCUGGCCUCGCGCCGUGUGGGUUCGAAUCCCGCUCCCGGCACCA
rnacentral:tRNA from 1 species